rnacentral:rRNA from 1 species
UACGUAGGGGGCAAGCGUUGUCCGGAUUUAUUGGGCGUAAAGAGCGUGUAGGCGGCCAGACAAGUCUGCUGUGAAAACUCGAGGCUCAACCUCGAGCUGUCGGUGGAAACUGUCUGGCUAGAGUCCGGAAGAGGAGAGUGGAAUUCCUGGUGUAGCGGUGAAAUGCGCAGAUAUCAGGAAGAACACCUAUGGCGAAGGCAGCUCUCUGGGACGGUACUGGACGCUGAGACGCGAAAGCGUGGGGAGCGAACAGG